AUGGCUAGAUUGACCAAUGUUAUGGGCAAGUUCAAUCAAAUGAUUGCCAUGGAGGUUCAACCCAACACAGCUAUUUAUCACUCCCUAAUUCGAGGUCUAUGUUUAAAUGGUGAUUUGGUUAAAGCCAAGGAGCUGGUUUCUGAAAUGAUGAACAAAGGUAUGCCUCGUCCUAGCAUUGUGUUCUUCACUUCAAUAAUAAACAAUUUAUGCAAAUAUGGAAGGGUUAUGGAUGCACAUGCUAUCUUUGACUUUGUUAUAGACAUGGGUGAGAGGCCAUAUGUCAUUACAUUCGGUUCAUUAAUUGACGGAUAUUGCUUAAUCGACAAGAUGGGUGAAGCACCAAGAGUGCUUGAUUCCAUGAUAUCAGUUGGCAUUGAACCUAAUGCGGUUACAUGUAAUACUCUUAUUAAUGGCUAUUCUAGAAAUGGAAGGAUUGAUGAUGCAUGGUUUGGCUCUGUU
rnacentral:rRNA from 1 species